GCGAAGAAGCUGGUACUAAGGAGAUACUCUCUUCUCCAGUCUAUGAGACUCUUUCUGAUGAAGAUUUGACUAAGAAUGAUGGUGCAAAGCUUGAGCAUGAAAAUGUAAUUACUCAAUCCAAAGAAGGAGAGGUCAGUUCCAAUGGAGAUGAAACUAAUUCUUUAAAUGAUGCUGCAAGUAUCAUUGAUGAGUUAGUUUUACAGCAGGAAAGUAUGAGGGAUAGUACAAAUCCAAAAAAGAAUUACCAUUCUGCCUUGAAGCCCCUAGAAUUGGCUGAGGAAGCUGAAAAGAAGCAGGCCUUCACGGCUA
rnacentral:misc_RNA from 1 species